CGCAGCCGCGGUAAUUCCAGCUCCAAUAGCGUAUAUUAAAGUUGUUGCAGUUAAAAAGCUCGUAGUUGAAUUUCGGGAUCAAUACGUCGGUCGUGCUUCGGUACGUACUGGCGUAAUUGAUUUCUCCCUUCUGACGAACCAUGAUGUCAUUAACUUGGUGUCAUGGGAAAUCAGGACUGUUACUUUGAAAAAAUUAGAGUGUUUAAAGCAGGCUCACGCUUGAAUACAUUAGCAUGGAAUAAUGAAAUAGGACGUUCGAUCCUAUUUUGUUGGUUUUUAGGAUCAACGUAAUGAUUAAUAGGGAUAGUUGGGGGCAUUAGUAUUCAAUUGUCAGAGGUGAAAUUCUUGGAUUUUAUUGAAGACUAACUACUGCGAAAGCAUUUGCCAAGGAUGUUUUCAUUAAUCAAGAACGAAAGUUAGGGGAUCGAAGACGAUCAGAUACCGUCGUAGUCUUAACCAUAAACUAUGCCGACUAGGGAUCGGAUGAUGUUAAUUUUUAAUGUACUCAUUCGGCGCCUUA
rnacentral:rRNA from 1 species